GUUGGGUGCGUUCGAUAAAAUGCCGAAUAAAAAAGGAGUUUUAGCUUCCUGCAAAUCUGCUCUGCUUGGACGGUGGACGCCUGGACGGUCAAUUCCGAGAGCAGCCUGCAAUCUCAACUGGCGCGCCCGGCCACUGCUAACAGCCGCGCGAGCUUGCUCCUCUCUUUCUCCGCCGCCGACAGCGACAGCACCCUUCUCCCACCUCGCCGUUCGCUAUUCUCUAAUUAAUCAACGAUGCAGACCGCCGUUCUAUCGCCUUCCUUCACCCCACUCCUCCGGAAAUCCCACGAUCCCCUCGCCAUGAAACAGCCCUUCCUCCGCCUCCGGCCCCUAGCCGCCGCCUCCUCCUCUGCCGUCACCUCCUCCUCGUCCUUCCAUGGCCUCCCUGGCCCCCGCCCCUUAGUCUCCCUCCCUUCCCUCUCAGAUCGGAGGCCCAAGGACGCUCUCGUGCUCCGAGCAACCUCCGUCCCUGAGAGCGCCUCUCCCAACGAUGGUGAUGGUGCUUCCAAGUCCGAUGGGAUGCUGCAGACGCUGCAACUUGGCUCUCUGUUCGGCCUCUGGUAUCUCUUCAAUAUCUACUUCAACAUCUACAACAAGCAGGUUCUGAAGGUCUUUCCAUUUCCGCUUACUGUCACGACGGUUCAAUUUGCUGUUGGAACUGUUCUUGUCUUAUUCAUGUGGGCCACCAAUUUAUACAAGCGGCCUAAGAUUUCUGCUUCUCAGCUUGUUGCCAUCUUACCAUUGGCUGCAGUUCACACAAUGGGCAACCUGUUUACAAAUAUGAGUCUAGGGAAGGUCGCUGUUUCAUUCACACAUACAAUCAAAGCUAUGGAGCCCUUUUUCUCAGUCCUUUUAUCUGCCUUAUUUCUGGGAGAGAUGCCUACCAUAUGGGUUGUAUUAUCUCUUAUGCCUAUUGUUGGUGGUGUUGCUUUGGCCUCUCUCACUGAAGCUUCUUUCAACUGGGCUGGAUUCUGGAGUGCAAUGGCUUCCAAUUUAACCUUCCAAUCUCGCAAUGUGCUUAGCAAGAAAGUGAUGGUUAAGAAAGAGGAAUCAUUGGACAACAUAAACCUCUUCUCCAUAAUAACAAUUAUGUCAUUUUUCCUUCUUGCUCCUAUAACUUUAUUUGUGGACGGUAUCAGAGUUACUCCUUCAUACAUGCUGUCCGCUGGCUUGGAUCUUAAGCAGAUAUACCUGAGAUCACUUCUUUCUGCAUUGUGCUUCCAUGCUUAUCAGCAGGUUUCAUACAUGAUACUUGCAAGAGUAACACCAGUAACCCACUCAGUCGGCAACUGCGUAAAGCGGGUCGUUGUGAUUGUCACUUCUGUCCUCUUCUUUAGGACUCCAGUUUCACCCAUCAAUUCGCUCGGUACUGGCAUUGCCCUUGCUGGAGUUUUCCUCUACUCGAGGGUGAAGAGAAUCAAGCCCAAGGCUGCAUGAUUAGCAUAUGUAUUUGUUCUUGUUCGAGGAAAAUUCGAACUCGGUUUAGCGAAUAGACUUUUCCUCUUCUCGUCGAUGCCGCAUUUCCCAUCUGUUUAACAGCUAGCAGGCCUGGCAUUUCGAGUAAUGAUUAAUUUUACACAUCAGUUUUCCCAUUGCUGCACGAGGAAGACAGGAGUUGGCUGCCUUGUCACUGAGAGUCAGUCACUUAGAAAAACUGACCUUGUCUUGAUCCACUUUGAUAGGAGUGAUUUGAUGAUAUCUUUAGUAGGUAUCUAGAAUGGAGAUAAGUUGGUGGCCAAUAGUGGAGUCCCCGAUCCAUGACAAGGUGUAAUAGUCUUUCAGACUUGUCUCCUUUGAGUCGUGAAAGUCAAUAUAGACCCGUCACUUUCUGAGGGAUUUUGACACUGACACCAUAUUUAUGAAAGGAACAUUAUUGCUUGGA